rnacentral:misc_RNA from 1 species
GGCGAACUUAUACUCUGAGUGCACUCUGGCUUCAAUGAUGCCCCAAACGUAGCUGGUUCUCUCUCAUCCACGCUCAAGAGAUUUGGUGCCACAUUUCUGAUCCGGGAUUGGACAGCCCCAAUUGUAUCAUAGGGCAAGCGUACCCCUGCAACCUCAGAGAGAGCACGAAUUAUCUUCCAGUCAUCCCUGGCAUCACCAACCGUUGGAACUGCCGGCAAAGUCUGUUGUGCACAGCCUUCUGUAUUUACGUAAGUCCCUUCCUUUUCAGUGAAUGCUGCUGCUGGCAAAAUGACAUUGGCAUGAUAAACUCCACGAUCCCCAUGGUGCCCCUGAUAAACCAUGAAGGCAUCCUUUGGCAGCUUGUCCAAGUUCACAUCAUCGGCACCCAUCAAAUACACAAACUUGGCAGACUCAAUACUAUUGCUGGAUUCUGGUACAAGUCCAAGGUCAAGAGCGGCAG